GGGUCAACUGGGGGCUGGAAUUCUCGGACCCUCUGCCGCCGCCCAUAGAGACUGGGAGCAGGAGACAAAAUGGCGGCAUAGUCUCCAAGCCUGGCUCGGGGACGUGGAUUCGGGAAGCAGGAAAUGGCCUGUGGUCUCCGGGAGCGUGUUCUGUAGGACCAUUGCUUUCCUUGAAUGCUUGUCGCGUGAAUAGCCUCAGGACUAGUACCAUGCAUUAGGAUUCAGGAAUUUGAAAAUGAGAAAAGGAUUUAAACUCGAACUUGGGGAAGAUACUGCACUAAAUUUUGUUUUGUAAGUCCUUAAAUUGCUAUUUGUAUUGAAUAAGGUUCCUGUUGAGAGGGGGAGGGGAGUAAGAUGGGCAGUACAGCUCAAGGUCAGAUUUGUCUUUAUUUCAUGUUUAAAAGUCAAACACAAGUAGGUGUCCUCUUAAUGCAAUUUUUUUUCUUUUCCCCCUCCCGUUCCAAACAGGUUCUCCUCUUAGUCUGCAAAUGUCCUUGGGAGGAAACUUGAAAUUAUAUUUGAGUGCUUUCUGUUCUGUAGGGAUUUUAGGCUCUUAAUAACUAAAAAGAACAGGAGGAAGGUUUUUAAAAAAAUUUGUUUUGAGAACUGAUUUGGAAACCUAUGAUUGUAGUUUCCAAAUAAGUGACAUUUUAGUGAUAAUCAUAUUUUGGGGUUGAGUGAUGAGGAUUUUUUACCAAAUGUAUUACUGGUUAUUCAACAUAGCACUCUGUAGAUAGAGCCACAUCAUUCUAUGUGCUUGGGUUUCUCCUUUAGAAUCAAAAGGGGGAAGGAAGUAUGUUCUUCCAGGUAGAGAGGAACUCCUGUGACUGUUGGGCACAAGAUAGAGAGGGAUUCAUGGGAAGGGAAAAAGAGGAAGACAGUUAUCAGGAAGCAGACUCUACCUGUGUCCACUCCUUUAUUGGGUACAAUAAUUCAGUGUUUGUGGUGACAAAAAAUGAACCCAUAGUUUUAGUCACACAUUCAUCAAGUGUGUUGAAAGAAGGUGAGAGUGUAUUUGAAUGAUUUUGGGUACUUGGAUAUAAAUACUGAUUUUUCUCAUUGUUCCUGCAGUACUUUAAUCUUCUAUUUUGCAUGCUGUGUUGAAUCUAAUAUAUAAACUUCGUGGCAUCAGUUAACUCUACCCUGGGGAAUUGGAAUUAAUUUGUAUGAUUUAUUUAAAGGUACUGGAGCCCUGCCUGGGUUGCUCAUAUGCCAGAAGGCUGCUGGUUUGAACCUUGCUCUCCUCAGGAUGCAUACCGGAGGCAACCAGUGCAUGUUUCUCUGUAGCAUGUGUUUCUCUUUCUCCCUCCCCCUUCCUCUCUCUAAAGUCAGUAAAUAUAUGUCGUCGGGUGAGGAUUUUUUUUUUAAGUGCUGGAGGAAGAGCUAAGAUAUGUUCAGCACAAGAACAAUUUUGAGUUACAGAUAGGAGAUACUGAGAUUUGAGGCUAUGACUCUUUACCUUGAAGAUUAAAUCUAGCGUUGCAUCACUUAAAGUCGGUAGUCUGAGGGGUAGUUUUUAUAGCAUUCCUAGCCGUAUUAAGGAAGUCUGUGACCUUACAGCAUUCCUGAACUAAGUCUUACUCUCCCAUCUAUGUGAUUCACGAUAGUACAGAAAAGUGGAGAUUACGGGGGACAGUGAGUAUUUUAACUUUUUUUUUUUUUGAGGGUAGAGGGAUCAGCAUACACUGUGUUUGGGUUUGUAGGGUAGUUGCUGCUUUUGUCAUUUUACCUUCUUGCUGUAAUGCUUGGCUCCAUAUAAGUUUCGAUGGUCACUUUUGAUUUCACUCUGUACGAAGGCAUCAAUAUGAGGAAUACAUCUGUCCUGAGUUACUAUUAGAGCUAUCCUUUAACAGUACCACCGCCUCAUCUCUAAUUUACUGUUUUAGUGAGGGGUUUUGAAUUAACUUGUUUAUAUAUGUCUUGUGAAUUAAGUUUAAUAAUGAGUUAAAAAACAGGUUAUCAGUUCUUGAGUGUAGGGCAGUAAUUUUAUUGCUAUUUUAUUGUUGAAAUUAAUUGCUAUUUCAGUUAAUGGAGUUAACUUUAUUGAGUGUAUUUUUUCUCCUUUCUAAGUAAAAGCAGAAUUGGCUAAUAGAGUUUUUAAAAUCUCUCCUGAUAGCCUUCAGUUUUCAUAUUAUAAGCAGAUGCUUUUUUGUGUAUACUGUAGAUUUUUUGUAUAGUAUUGUGCAAACUUCAAUCUAUUGUGUUGGCUUAUAGCACUGGAAUAUAAUGUAGUCAUGAAUCAUUGCAAUUUGAGUCAAAUUCUUACUACCGUGGACAUUCUUAGACACGCAUUUUCAACUUUAUAUGAAAAGAUCUCAAUUUAAAUUCUGGUAGGGAAGGAAUACUUAUAACAAGUAUUAAACUGAGCAAAAUAUAGACUCAGUAAGUACAAGGAAACACAUUGAAAGUCUAUAUAAACAGGCUUUUUUAAUUGUUUCAUAGCUUGGUCAAAGGAAUGUGUUUUAAAAAUUUCUGUAACCUGGUACAGCAAGUGAAAUUUCUGCCCAGUGUAUUAGUGUAUCUAAUUUUACAGAUGAGGUUUAAAUUUGUAAGAAGUGUAUCUGAAAGCUUUAAUAUAUAUUUUAAAUUACUUUUGUUGUUCAAUUACAGUUGUCUCCAUUUUUCUCCAUUAAUGCUCCCCUGCCCUAACCACCCCCUAGAAAGCGUGCAUAUAUUUAUUUUCUAAGAUUUUACUUAAUUUUUUUAGAAAGAAGGAGAGAAAUAUCAGUGUGUGGUUGCCUCUCACAUUCUCCCAUCUGGGGACCUGGCCUGCAACCCAGGAAUGUGCCCUGACUGGGGAUCGAACCAGCGACUCUGGUUUGCAGGCUGGUGCUCAAUUCAGUGAGCCACACCAGUCAGGAAUAUAUAUAUGUAGGUAUAUAUGUGUGUGUGUGUUUAUAUAUGUUUAUAUUUUAAAAGAGGAGCCCUGGCUGGUGUAGCUCAGUGGAUUGAGCGCAGGCCUGGGAACCAGAGGAUCGAGGUUCAAUUCCCAGUCAGGGCACAUGCCUGGGUUGUAGGCCAGUUCCCGGCAGGGGACACACUAGAGGCAACCAUACACUGAUGUUUCUCUCCCUCUCUCCUUCCCCUCUAAAGAUAGAUAGAUAGAUAGAUAGAUAGAUAGAUAGAUAGAUAGAUAGAUAGAUAUUUAAAAAAUAAUAAAAGAGGGCCAUAAGGCUCAUAUUGCCAGACUUUUACCUUAUAUUUAAGAAAAGUGUUUAAAUAGUAAUGAUAGUCAUAGGAUAAAAUAAAAAAAUUUAACUACAUAAUGCCAUAUAUAUAGAGAACUUCAUUCUUCAUAGACCACAUUCACAAAAUUUUUUACUUUUUUCAUAUAACAUUGAUGUGUAGGUAAUGUUACUGCCAUUUCAUGCUUCAGGAAAGUGAAUUUGAGAAUAUUUAUCACAUGACUAAUUGACUAGUAAAUGGCAGAGCUAGAAAUUGUCUUCUGACUUUUAGACCAGAUAAGUAUUUUCUCCUGAGCCACUCACAAAAGACCUAUGUGUAAUUAAGAUGGUGCCCUGGGGGUGGUAGUAGAACUGCAUAUUUUUUUAGCAGUUAACUUCAAAUACUAUGUCUUUGUGUUUAUGACUGACUAGUAUCUAUUGAAAUAGUAGGUAAAGUAGCUUCAUACUUUUCUAAAAAAACACUUCCAGGCACAGUGAAAUUAGGGUGAGGAUUUUAGGUAAUUUCAGAAUGUUUGCUUGCAUACAGUUUCCUUGGUUUAUCACAGUGUUUGUAUUGGGAUAUGGCUAAGGCCAUGCAUUUCUGUAAAGUACUUUUGAAAACAUUUCCCCCUUCACCUUUGUCUUAAUGGAUUUAGCCCUUAAGUUACUGAUGUAAACAGAAAACUUAGAAGGGAGAGAAAGGUUGGUGAAUGAUUCACAAAUGUUCUAAGCAAUAGCCUAAUAGUUGUCAAACAGAUUCCAUUAAGGGUUAGUGAGGAAUAGCAACAUAAAAUAGUUUACUGGUUUUAAAAAAAUUUUUUAUGUAGCCCUAACUGGUGUGGUUCAGUGGGUUGGGCAUUGCCCUGGAAAACCUAAAGGUCACGCCCUGACCAGGGAUCAAACCCACAACCUUGGCAUAUCUGGACAGUGCUCUAACCGACUUAGAUACACAAUCAGGACUGUUGACUGUUUUUGAAAUGGUCAGUUAACAGUUUGAUACAGUUAAAUAUUGAUAUCCAAGUUGACACAUUGGUUUGUCAACAUAACUCAGGUUUGAACUCAUUAACUAUUCAUGCCAGUCACAUUCCUAAAACAAUUUCAGCUCAUUUAAAUUUACUAAAUUGUAUUGUAAAAGUGUGUCUUUUUCAGUAAAGUAACACAUUUUUCAUUUUCACCAAUAAUUUUAUUGAUUUGGAUAUUUUGAAUAUGUUGGCUGUUUCCUGUGUGGUAGUAUGUGCUUGAUUGACCUCAGUUAUGUCUCGAUUUCAUUGUUGUCAACUUCAACUGGUCUACCCACUGUGGAGUAUCGUCCAGUGAGAAAUCUCCAGCACCAAACUUCGCAAACCACUCUUGACACGUUCCAUUAGUUACAGCAGCACCUUUUUCACAUACUGUGUGUCUUUUUUUGCGUUUCAGUUGCAUUUUUACCUUUUUUG